AAUACAGGCAACUAUAAUUAAAAGCAAAGACUAUGAGGGGCUAUUACAUUGAUGCUUGUUUUUAAUUUAUUUUUAUUUUAGAACUUUCAUUUUCUGUAAAGUAGAAAAGAGAUUUUAACAAGUUAAAAAAAGAAAUUUUUUUAGUUACCACUCACCAGGUUGUGGUUGGGUUUCAAAAUGUCAAUUUCAACUUAGUUUUGUUAAGAAAAUGGAAAAAUUAUUCAUUACUCCCUACGAACAUAUUCUCAUGGCUUGGGUAGAGCACAGCAGGCUCCUCAAGGGCCAGAUAAGGGAGACUAAAUUGUUGCAAUGCGUUUAUCUGAGUCUCAGCUAGAACAUACUCCAUCUACUUCACCGAUCAGGCGUUCAUCAUCACAUCAGUGGCUCUGGGGUACCUGUUGGCCAAGUCUACCACAAAAUUUAACCAAGGUUCAUUGUUGGUGAAUGCUGCUAGCCGGCUACUUGCACAGAUGAUAUAUUGUCAUGUUUGUCCUCUUCUUGAAAGGGUUGUGGAGUAUAGAUGGCCUGGUCACAUAAAUUAUGCGAGGCUCCAUUUGAAUAAAUAUCAAUUGUUCUUAAAAGUUACCGAUAGUUAUUGAAUCACAUGCCUAGAAAUCCAUUCCCAUAUCAGUACACAAAAACCUGGAUUCAUCUUAAAUGCAUUUGUUUAAAUCAAAACAUCAGUAACUACCACAAACAAACAUCAUAUAUUUCUAACCACACUCGAAAGUUGAGCAGCAUUUGGUUUCAGAUUCACUCUAGGUGCUAGGAUUAAGUCCGUAGAACCUCAAAUGCCUACAGUGCACCAGUUCUUAGAGCAUGGUCUAAAUCAGCAAUCAGAUCAUUCACAUCCUCUAUCCCCACAGAGAUGCGAAUAAGAUCUUCGGUAAGGCCUCUGGCUUCUCGGACUGCUGCUGGUAUACUUGCAUGGGACAUAAAGCAAGGCAUGCUUAUGAGGGACUUGACACUCCCAAAACUGACAGUUAUACUGAAAUACUUGGUAGUCUCAACAAUGUGCUUUGAGAGUUCCAGUGAUCCUGUUAAAAAGCUAAGCACGGAACCUGCACCCUUUGCCUGAGAAUAGUGCAAGUCACGUCCAGGAUGACCAGGAAGACCCGCAUAGUUAACUUUCUUCACUCGCGGAUGUGAAGCAAGAAACUCAGCAAUCUUCUGUGCAUUGUCCUGUUGUUUCUCUACACGCAAGGCCAUGGUCUUAAUACCUCGUAAACAAAUCCAACAGUCAAAUGGUGCUAAUCCAGAGCCUUCUGCAUUUUGUAGGAAAUACAAAUCUCUCGCCAAGCUAGUAAACAUAGGAAGCCACCCAUGUGUAGCAGGAGGGAAGAGAGUUACAGAAAGAGAUACAUAAAUUCAUAAAAAAGCAGUAAAGUCUAUAGAUUAUUCAUUGAAAUAGCUUUAUUAAGAAAGAUCAACCACCAUAAACAAAUAAAAAAGGUACAGAAGAAAGGUUUCCUUAGUUAACAUGCAUGUGAAACAAUGCCAAGAAAAACUAUAAAAGUGAUGGUAAAAACCUCAUCAGUGUGGAUUUUUAAUCUCUCAGAAUUAGAAAUGACUUAAUAAAAGAAGUACAAGAUGAGAAAUAAUAGUAUAUAACAAUUCGAAUACAGAUACAAAAAGAUUAGCUAAAACCUGAAAAAUUAUGAAAGUAAUAAGGGAAAUGGAACACAUCCAUUAUAUUUGCAGUAUGAAUACGUACUUAGAGCAACAAACCUUUCCCCUUUUACUGCAAGCACACCUGCCAUGACAUCACUAUGCCCAGCCAUAAAUUUAGUAGCAGAGUGCAUCACUAUGUCUGCCCCAAGUUCCAAUGGCUGUGACAAUACAGGGGACAUAAUACUAUUGUCUACCAAGACAAGAGCACCAUGUGUGUGAGCCAUCUUUGCAAUUUUCCGAAUAUCAGAAAUUUGUUGACGAGGGUUAGUUGGGCUCUCUAGCCACACAAGCUUUGUCCAGGGGCCAAUUGCAGAUGCAACCUCAUCCAGAUUGCUAGUAUUUACUCGUUUGACCACAACUCCAGAUUUUGGGGUUACUUGAGACAGCAAUCUAUCAGAACCACCAUACAAAUCAUCUCCAGCAACAAUUUCCUGACCUAAGAUAUAAAUUGCACCAGUUACAAGAAAUUUCAGAAGAAUCAAGGGUUAUCAAUGAAAAUAGAUAAAAAAAGGGUAACCCAGUGGCCAGUGCACAAAGUAUCCCGCACUUGUGGGCUCUAGGGAGGGUUAAUGAUCAAUGAAUACAGAUUAUGAAAGCAAAAAUUUUUGAAAAGCAUGAAUUUGUACAAACAGCUAUAAACAUGCACAUGGUGUGGACCUCAUAAGUCAUAAUGACCAAGGCUAAGUCAAUGGAGCUGACAAGUCACAACCACUAAGGCUAUGUUAUCUGGACUGACCUGACAUGCUUACACACAAACAUAGGAGCUGAACACUCCAAAAUAAGGCAAAAUCUUCUCAACAUUGACAAGUCAAACACUUGGGCCAAUUUACCCAAACUAGGACAAGAUACACCUUAGCCACCUAGGAAAUGUGCCAGAUAAAGCUUAAAACCUGGGAAUAUAGUGGUGAUCAUAGAAUAUAAAAUAUAUUUUUCAUUUUUCAAAAUCAAAUAAGUAAUUACUGUUGUAAGUUUAGAAGCCAAAACAAAACGCAAAUGAAAAUGGCAUGAAUCUUUCUGUUCUCCUUUGUAAUAGCUUUUUGUUUCUACUUCUCCAUCAACUAGUUCUACAACCUCAUAAAUAUAGGAAUGUGUGCAUAUAUAUUCACAAUGUAUUAUACACCUUAAUUUUAUUUUUGUUGUAUUUGUUUCAUACCAAAAAAAAAAAGCUCAAUAAAGAUACUUCUAUUUAAAAGAAAAUAUUAAAUGCAAACAAAUCCUUACUGUGUCAACGUCUAACUUUCUAAACAUUACCAUAUCAAUUUAUCCCUGGUCAUAUUGCAGUGGUACACAUCUCCAUAAACAGACUUCUGAACUUUGAUGUCAUUGACUAAUAAAGUGAAGCUAUGUCAAGGAUAUUACUGCUAUAAUACAGUCCAGAGUAUAAUUGAACCCAUGUUCAAGAAUGUCUACAGUACCUAUGAACUUAUGGUCUUAUAUGUCAAUUCUUCCACUGAAAAUUCAAAAUGAAGAUAAUAACUUGAUUCACGAGAUAAAUAAAAGUAUGCGAGCGUACAAGCAGAAUAGACAAAAAAAAAAGAGAGUGAAGCACCAGUUCCAACAAGAUGAGUAACUGCAGCCAAAGCAGCCAUUCCACUUGUGAAGCACAAUGCUCGAUCUGCUUUAUCUAGCUUUGCCAAGAGGCUUUCCAAAGCAUCCCUGGUGGGAUUUCCACUUCUGGUGUAAUCAUAUGGGCCAUUUUCUAUUGCUGAUGGCUGCUUAAAUGUAGCUGUUUGGUAAAGCGGGGUACUCAUUGCAUCAUAAGGAUCGAACUUAUUCUCAAAGUUCAUCAAUAUUGUUGAAAUACUAGGCUCCCUAAUAUCUAUUUCACUUAAGCCCUCUGUUACACAAUCAACUAAAGCUGAAGUGGUCACAUCCAUUUCUUUGUCUGCUGAGCAAUUCAACUCAAAUUUUUUUGCUAAAGUUAAACACUUCCCUCCCAAAUUACAUUCCUUUCUCACCCAAAAAUUUUUUGG
rnacentral:misc_RNA from 1 species